UACGUAGGGUGCGAGCGUUGUCCGGAAUUAUUGGGCGUAAAGAGCUCGUAGGCGGUCUGUCGCGUCUGCUGUGAAAACCCGAGGCUCAACCUCGGGCCUGCAGUGGGUACGGGCAGACUAGAGUGCGGUAAGGGAGAAUGGAAUUCCUGGUGUAGCGGUGGAAUGCGCAGAUAUCAGGAGGAACACCGAUGGCGAAGGCAGUUCUCUGGGCCGUAACUGACGCUGAGGAGCGAAAGCGUGGGGAGCGAACAGG
rnacentral:rRNA from 1 species